CUUUGGUUUAUUUCAGCUGCUGAAGCUGAAGCUGGAGAUGUUGACAUUACAUACAGUGAUGUCACAAUAUCACGUAACCUGCAGCAGCCAAUCAGACGGAGCAGAGAGAGUGAUCCUGCUGUAAUCUACUCCGGAGUGAGAACAGAAGACGUCUGUUACGGACAAAUAGUGAUCAAAGACAAGAAAUCAAACAGGAAGAGAGAGAGGGAUCCUGCUGCAAUCUACUCCGGAGUGAGAACAACAGACGUCAGUUAUGGACAAAUAGUGAUCAAAGACAAGAAAAGAAACAGGAAGAGAGAGAGAGAUCCAGCUGCAGUCUCCUCAGCAGUGAGAGGAGCAGAAGACGUCAGUUAUGGACAAAUAGUGAUCAAAUCAAACAGGACCAGAGAGCCUCCAGCAGACCCAGAGGUCCUCUACUCCUCACUGAGGAAGACCUGAACACCAUCACACCAGUCCAACCAGUGGAGUCCAGCGGGCCAAUCACUGGUCCCCAGAGACCCUCACAUCUACAUCUGUACCUGUAUAGCAGUCCGGUCAUCCAACCAACUGGCUUUAGAAGUCCCAAGGUCCAGGUACAAACUGUGGGGGGGAUCGCUCUUUUGCAGUUGCUGCCUCGAGACUUUGAAACAAGUUACCACCUGACAUUCACACCAUUACAGACGUCGCUCUUUUGAACAAAAUUAAAACUUCCUUAUUUAGAAUGGCUUUUAAUGCACAGUAGUGUUGCUGCAUUUUCACUUUCUUUCUCCUGUUUUUAUGCAACAGUUUCAGAUUUUACUGUAUUCUAUGUUUGACUCUUUUUAUUGUAUGAUAUGUUGUUUUAUUCUUGGUCCUUCGAGCACUUUGGAUACCUGUUGGUUGCUGUGAAGCAGUAUGAAUAAAUGUUGAUUGAUGUUAAGGUUAAAUGAGAUUAAUGCAGCUACAAAAAGCAUAUUUACAUUCUUUAGAUGUGUUUCCUUCAAUGCUUCUUAUUUAAGUCAUAGAUUUGUUGCUCUGUAAGUGUUCAUUACGUUGCACAACAACCAACAAAUAUCUACUGAACAGAGUCUAAUGAUAAUAACUAUUUACUGAUAUUGAUAUUGUAUUUAUGAGCUUGUUUCUGUGCAGGAUCAAUAAACUCUGGUGUC